AGUAGGCAGAACUCUAUGCGAUGCUGGCUGCACCCAGAGACCAAGGGCCAUUACUGGCUGCUGCUAUGGAUCCAAGCUUGCUGGAGCUAUGAGGGGAGCAACGAGAGACACUCUUGGGAUGUAAGGUUCUGCACCCCCUCCAUUGAAGGAUUCUUGGUGUAAAUAUGUGUUAAUAAGCCAUAUUUUAAAGACCCUGCAGACUCUACUGUGCUUUGGUUUCCCAAUGGAAACACAUCCCCCAGGGAGCGCCCAGAACCCUCUGAAAACUUGCUACCACUUGGCAAAGAUUGAGAGUGGUGUUUAACAAUGCAUUCGAAUGCAGGGCCAACUGUACCUUAGGGAGAGUGAAGCAGCUGCCUUAGGCGACAGAUGUUGAGAGGUUUUCAUGGAAGAGAGUUAAGAGCAGAAAAGAGAGACUAUUUGUUUCAUUUACAGCUAAGUGUAUUGUACAAGGAAGCCACUUAAGAAACAAGAAGUAAACCACUGUUUGAUUGAAGAGGGCGUCUUACAAUCAAGAUGGAUUACCCAGUCCACCAACACCCGUGCUUUCAGAGCUUUGACCUACAGCUGCGAAAUGUAUCUAGGCCAUGAUAUUAAGCUUUUUGCUUAUGAAGUA